rnacentral:rRNA from 1 species
GACGAACGCUGGCGGCGUGCUUAACACAUGCAAGUCGAACGGACAGGCCCUGCUUUUGUGUGGUGCUCGAGUGCCGCACGCGUGAGUAACACGCGUGUAACCUCUCCCUGUAUUUCGGAUAACUUCAGGAAACUCGGGCUCUUACCGGAUAGGAGCUCCUGCUGCAUGGUGGGCGAUGGAAAGUUUCGGCGGUUGGGGCUAGACUCGCAGCUUAUCAGCUUGUUGGUGGGGUAGUGGCUUACCAAGGCUUUGACGGAUAGCCGGCCUGAGCGGGUGACCGGCCACAUGGGGACUGAGAUACGGCGCAGACGCCUACGGUAGGCAGCAGUGGAGAAUAUGGCACAGUGGGCGGAAGCCUGAUGCAGCAACGCCGCGUGCGUGAUGACGUCCUUCGGGUUGUAAACCGCUUUCGCCGGUGACGAAGCGUGAGUGACGGUAAUGGGUAAAGAAGCACCGGCUAACUACGUG